UCACCGGAUCAAAGCAUACACAAAACCAUGGUAGAAACGAAAGUCACAACGAUGGAGAUUAAGGUGGUUGACCUAGGAUGCGAAAAAUGCCACAAGAAAAUCAAGAGAGUACUGUGUGCUAUCCCUCAGAAAUCCAGAACCAGAUAUAUGACAAGAAGGCAAACAAAGUGACAAUCACUGUGGUGUGUUGCUGUCCUGAAACGAUCAAGAAAAAAUUAUACUGC